GUGCAUUUUAUUCAACAUAAAGACAUAAAGAUUAUUAUUCACAGAAUGUUUCACACAAAACUCAAGAACUCAAACACAGCUUUGAUGUGGUUUACUAUGUAAACUUAUAUAAUCUGUGUUUUACAGGUACUUGAAACAGAAAGUAGGCCUUGGGUAGGAGGGCCUGCUCUCAAUGGCUCCAACAGCUCAGUUCAGCUUGUUGCUAGUCAGAUGAUUCUUCCUAAAGCUAUGGGCCUGGGAGGCUGCACAGUGCUGAGUUAUUAUCAUACUCUUCUUCAGAAAGUAUCAGAAAAUGAACUAGGAUCUGCUAAUCAGAGUACAACCUCCAACCAUCCAGCCGCAACUCUGCUGCUAACGCUGGGUCAGUCACCAAACAGCAGCUUUGGUGAUGCCAAACUAUCUGCCUCUGGUCCUCUGUGCCAAUCACUGCAAAGAUUACAGCACAAAGACUGCACCCUUACACCCACCCCUCCAUGGCAACAAUCACUAGGAGUCAUUACUUCUUCAGCAGAGCAGGAGGAAGACUGCAGUACCCAGGACAGCGCGGAUGAGAGCAGCAGACAGAUCGACAACAGCACACCACCACAUUCUGCACACCAAGACCGUCAAGGAAACCAUAGAGUUACAGAGGCGAGAACUUCUAUUCUCUCUUUAGAGCACAGUUUUUAUAAUGAUUCACCAUUUGCCAAAUAUCCAACCUCAUCUGUCAAAAAAUGUUUUGGAAACAUCCCCAGUCAGAACACUUGGUUUAGUCCCCCUCAGCCUGGUCACAAUGGCUCCAACCUGGAUAUGAAGGAGUUCUCAGCUUCACAGAUGGCCCGAACAUUUUUAUCAAACUCUUUGGCUUGGGAUGAUUUACCUUUCUCUGAGAGUCUUACAGAGGUUUUAUCUGGAGAAAAUAAUAACUUGGACAUUGUCAGUAAAACUGAGACGACCCCAAAUGCACCUUACAAGAAAGACAAAGCAGGAAAUAAUGUGGAAAUCACAAACCUAACUACUGAAUCUGCAUCUCAGAGAAACAGCCUGAUAACAACAAGCCAUUCACAUGUAUUAUUGGACAUUUGUAAUAAACUGUCAGCAAAUGGAAGUGACAGGCCGAGUGGAGCCAGGGACUCUUGUUACUCUGAGUCUAAUCAGAAGGACAAGGAGGAUGUUUCUCUUUUUUUCGAAAAGGAAAAAGAAGAGCAGGCACAUGAAGAUACCUACAACUGUUCUGCAGACUUAUUCAGUGCUUCUUACAAGAUCGGUAUGAACACACACAUGCUCAACAUGCAUGAAGACACUGUCAGCAUGAUCACAGAAGCUCGCCCACUGUUUUUCAGCCCACAAGAGCAACACCUGAGAAAUGAAAACACUGAUGUCACACUGUCAACACCAAACAGACUAACAAGUAGUGAAGGUAAUAACAAGGACAGUUCAGUUCCACAAGGUUUUUUUGACUUUGUCCCUCCCUCACAGUCCACUCCCAUUGCAAAAUUGGGUGUUGUGUCAUCUGCCUUGUUAAACAAUAAGCAGACAGGUGAAUUGAGUUCAAAGCCUGGCAGUCAAGAGUCCAAAGGUUUUCAUGGAAAUCUGUAUGAACUUGACAAUGAGAAGCCAAAUAAAGGCAUCUCUUCUCUUUGUAAGUUGAACACAAACCUAGUGAGACACAUGCUAUCCAGCAGGUGCAGCCACAGACUUAAACCAGAGAGGAGGCUCCGGAAACUAGACAAAUGUAAAAAUCAUCUGCAGACUCAGCAGCACCAGAGGAGUUCCCAAAUAGGGGCUCCGAACCCACAGUCAGCAGGAUCUUUCAGGGUUUUCGAUGUGACUGUGCAUGAUUUCAAGAACAAUGAAGUUCCUCCUACACCUGUCAACAAAAUGCAGCUGAGUGUGAGGCUCAGAAGAGAAGGACUGACUGAUAACAGUAGGAGCAGCAGCGAUAUGAGCACCACACAGAUGGUGGAUGGAGUUAAGUGUAAAAGAACUCUGUGGCGUCAAUCCCUGAUACAAACAGGAAAUUGUGACAGUGAGACAGUAGGAGAAAGUGGAUCUAAUGAUUACAUUGAUGAUGAUGAGAACAAGACGUGCAAUUGCUCCAAAGAUCUGUUUUCUGACUCGGUCUGAGAGGUUCCCUUUGAAAAUAAUUCUUCUUUUGCUCUCUAAGAUAAACAACUGGAUAAAAUAUCUAUAUAUAUAUAUUCCUUUUUAUUAACUGCUAAAUUCUGAAUAGAUAUUUUUAAUAAUAUAAACAGGAAAUACCUCCAGAAAUGAAGGAGCAUAAUGUGAACUAACUUCCUAUCUGGAACUGAAUCAGGGAUGUUGCACCAUUUGUUACAUGCCAUAGCCCCAUGGAAAGCGCCU
rnacentral:lncRNA from 1 species